rnacentral:rRNA from 1 species
GAUGAACGCUGGCGGCGUGCCUAAUACAUGCAAGUCGAGCGAACGGACGAGAAGCUUGCUUCUCUGAUGUUAGCGGCGGACGGGUGAGUAACACGUGGAUAACCUACCUAUAAGACUGGGAUAACUUCGGGAAACCGGAGCUAAUACCGGAUAAUAUUUUGAACCGCAUGGUUCAAAAGUGAAAGACGGUCUUGCUGUCACUUAUAGAUGCAUCCGCGCUGCAUUAGCUAGUUGUUAAGUUAACGGCUUACCAAGGCAACGAUGCAUAGCCGACCUGAGAGGGUGAUCGGCCACACUGGAACUGAGCCACGGUCCAGACUCCUACGGGAGGCAGCAGUAGGGAAUCUUCCGCAGUGGGCGAAAGCCUGACGGAGCGACGCCGCGUGAGUGAUGAAGGUCUUCGGAUCGUAAAACUCUGUUAUUAGGGAAGAACAUAUGUGUAAGUAGCUGUGCACAUCUUGACGGUACCUAAUCAGAAAGCCACGGCUAACUACGUG